GCUAUGAUGUAUGUACAAAGCAUUCAGCUUGUCGUGCAGAUAAAAGGUUAAAUCUGGGCCUUGUAUUUUCACAGUAUAUUUUGUAGCUUCUUGGCCAUUCUUUGAUUUAUUAGCCUGUCCUAAAACAGGAGUAUAUUUUGCUGUUGACUUUUAAUGGCCCUAGUAUUGUCUAUCACUGGGAAUAUGGAUCCCAUAAAAUGAGAAACGAUACAUUUUUAUUAAUCCCAAAUAUUGGAAGUGUUACAGAACUCAGCGACCAUUAACAUGUGCCUAAAUGUUACUAUG